UUGGGAGAAAACCGGCCUGCCCAGUGCUCUUCUGAGCAAACAUUUAACUAUUCUGACUGAACCUAACAAAGAAAAUUGUUAAUCAUAAACAACUUUCAGCAAUGGAUCUCUCGGCUUUCGUAUCGAUGAAGAACGCAGCAAAUCGCGAUAUGUAGUGUGACUUGCCUAUAGUGAAUCAUCAAAUCUUUGAACGCAUCUUGCACCCCUGGGUAUUCCUGGGGGUACGCCUGUUUCAGUAUCAUUUAAACUUCUCUCCCCAAUUCGGGUGCUGGGAAAAAUCACUACUGGCCCGCGAGAAUUUAUUCUCUGACGGCUUAAAUGCUCUGGCUUUUUACUUUUGACUAGCUUAUUACCCUUUGGUAGUUUACUCUAUUAAAGCUCCAAGCUCCUCUCUAGAAUGGCCCCCGCAACCCCCCUAAACACUUGAUCUGAAAUCAGGCGGGAUUACCCGCUGAACUUAAGCAUAUCAAUAAGCGGAGGAAAAGAAAAUAACAAUGAUUCCCCUAGUAACGGCGAGUGAACAGGGAAAAGCUCAAAGUUGGAACCUCCUGGCCCUAGGUCUGGCGGAUUGUAAACUAAAGCUCUCGAGUAGUUCGGCUAGCCUGGUAAA
rnacentral:sRNA from 1 species